GCCGAUUCUCUUCGCUGCGGUACCUUCUCGUCGACAAUUCAACGACGGCAUGGCGGAAGCCGGUGGGAAUCCGGCACGGUCGCGCCACUGUAAACCCGGCAGCAGCCCCCCGUGUACGCGGGGCGGCGGGCGCCCGGGCGAGUCAGACCCGCUGACGUCGUUCUGUGCAC
rnacentral:ncRNA from 2 species